rnacentral:rRNA from 1 species
CACGUAGGGCGCAAGCGUUGUCCGGAAUUAUUGGGCGUAAAGAGCUCGUAGGCGGUUUGUCGCGUCUGCCGUGAAAGUCCGGGGCUCAACUCCGGAUCUGCGGUGGGUACGGGGCAGACUAGAGUUCGGUAGGGGAGUCUGGAAUUCCUGGUGUAGCGGUGAAAUGCGCAGAUAUCAGGAGGAACACCGGUGGCGAAGGCGGGACUCUGGGCCGAUACUGACGCUGAGGAGCGAAAGCGUGGGGGAGCAAACAGG